UCCGGUGACAUCACCGCCCCGCCGCGCCGACACCGGCCGGGCGCGGACUGCGCUGCGCUCCGCGCUCGGUGCGGGGAACACCCCGGCCCGGCCUCCUCCUCCUCCUGCUCACCCUCCUCCUCAUCCUCCUCCUCAGCCCUCUCCUCCCCUGGUUGUUAUUUUUCCCCGCUCCGCGCAUCCCGCGCCCCCCCCUCCCCGCGCCCGCGGAGCGCUCGCCCCUCCGCGCCACCCGCAUGACUGUCACCAAGGCUCGAGGAGCACCCACGAUUCCCUGAGCUCCACGUCCGUCCCGGGGUGUCCGGAGCACCCGCCCAGCCCGCGGAGCAGAGCAGGGCAGAGCUCUUGUCGAGUCAAUGAGGGACCUGCACAAGUCUAACGUGCUGGGGAGCAAGCACGGCAGCCUGGUG